CGUCUAUGGAUUUACAUGUAAAACAUCAUCUUGCUGUAGUUUGGUUUUAUUUGAAAAUCUGACAGAAGAGGGGAUAAAAAGUUUCAGGAAUGUAUGGAAUGUGGAGGUUAUCUGUACAUCCUGAGGCAAAAACUAAAGGUAGGAAAAUUAUAGAGGAAUAGCAGAAGAGUGAAAUCUCCAGCUUAUGGAAGGGGAACCACUUUUUCCCAAGUUUAGGAUGAGCGUGGGGGUAUUUGCGGGGUAACUUUGGGGCAUUAUCACACCCUAUACCAUUCAUCUGUAUUAACGUUGGAAUGUACUUCAAUGUUUAUUACUGUGGUUGAUAUUUCAAAAGCUGCUUUCACAAGGAAUCCAUGCAUCUCAGCAUUGUUUAAACUGUAUUUAGUUAUGACCUCUAGAAUGUUUGUUAGUUACACAAACAAAAGAAGAACUUUUUCCAUUUGAGGUAUGUCUCUUGAUUCUUCAAAAGCAUUUCUGAAAAGGUGGGAACGGCUUGAGAGAGAGAGAUUGAGACUCGAUAGGCUGAAGAAGGUGGGUUUGCUCACGCCAUCCGCUGUGCUGUUUGAGCUAACCCCUCUGCCUGUACAGACCCCGGAAUUGUUUAUCAUGAUGGAUAGAGCCCCGUUGCCCACUCGCCCUAGUUUCUUCAAGGUUUACUCAUCCCUGGACGAUCCAGCAUUUAACUCAAGUUACCUAGGAUUUCAUGCAUGUUUGGUUAAAUCCAUGACAUUCAUUCAGUUAGAAAUCCAGGUGGGAAACAGAGCGAAGGGUUGGGAUCUGGCUAUGGCGGCUGGGACCUCAGAGAGUUGCCUUGUGUGGCCUGUUGAGCAUAGAUGUAGCAGGAGUCCUCCUACCCCCUCCCCCAGGCCUGCCUCCCUGCGCAGAGAGAGCAUGCGCGAGCGUGCGCAGGAAAGCCAGACCUCCCCAGUAGGUCUCAGAGACCAGGAUGAUCAGAACUUUUCAAGUUAUUCUAAUUUUUAAGCAAAAUAUUAUCCUGUGAAAGGUUUACAUUCUCCACGUGAUGAGUAUGGAAUGACAAACGCCGUGCUGCUAUCCCGUCAAGAUCUUUGUAAUGGAGGAGUCUGUUUGCAGUACACACCAAGUGGCCGGCUCCUUCAAGCUGCUUUUUGAAGUAACGAUGAAGAACACAGACAUUUUAAAUAUAAAACCUGUUUCUCUCUUGUUUUUGUUGUUAUUGUUCAAACUUGGAUUUGUAGAGUAUUUUAAAAAAAUGUAUAUAUAUUAAAAAAAAAAGGUCCUAGGAGUCCUUCAGGUGUGGGAUUUUGUUUUCUGAUUUGAAUGGCAAACUUGCCCAGUCACUGGACUCCAGAACUGGACAGUAUUGUGGCUGCACUUGCCCUAAAAGUAGUUGGUGGUACAUUUUUUUUCUUGUUAAAAACAUGUUAGGUGCAAAGAGUGUAUAAAGAAGCCUUGACUAGCCUUUUCUUCCUCCUUAAAAAAAAAAAAA
rnacentral:lncRNA from 1 species